GAUGAAGAACGCAGCGAAAUGCGAUAAGUAGUGUGAAUUGCAGAAUUCAGUGAAUCAUCGAAUCUUCGAACGCACAUUGCGCCCUUUGGUAUUCCAAAGGGCAUGCCUGUUCGAGCGUCAUUUGUACCCUCAAGCUUUGCUUGGUGUUGAGCGUCUUGUCUCUAGCUUUGCUGGAGACUCGCCUUAAAGUAAUUGGCAGCCGGCCUACUGGUUUCGGAGCGCAGCACAAGUCGCACUCUCUAUCAGCAAAGGUCUAGCAUCCAUUAAGCCUUUUUUUUCAACUUUUGACCUCGGAUCAGGUAGGGAUACCCGCUGAACUUAAGCAUAUCAAUAAGCGGAGGA
rnacentral:misc_RNA from 1 species